AUUGAACGCUGGCGGCAUGCCUUACACAUGCAAGUCGAACGGUAACAGGUCUUCGGAUGCUGACGAGUGGCGAACGGGUGGGUAAUACAUCGGAACGUGCCUAGUAGUGGGGGAUAACUACUCGAAAGAGUGGCUAAUACCGCAUGAGAUCUACGGAUGAAAGCAGGGGAUCGCAAGACCUUGUGCUACUAGAGCGGCCGAUGGCAGAUUAGGUAGUUGGUGGGAUAAAAGCUUACCAAGCCGACGAUCUGUAGCUGGUCUGAGAGGACGAUCAGCCACACUGGGACUGACACACGGCCCAGACUCCUACGGGAGGCAGCAGUGGGGAAUUUUGGACAAUGGGCAAAAGCCUGAUCCAGCAAUGCCGCGUGCAGGAUGAAGGCCUUCGGGCUGUAAACUGCUUUUGUACGGAACGAAAAGCCCCGGGUUAAUACCCUGGGGUCAUGACGGUACCGUAAGAAUAAGCACCGGCUAACUACGUGCCAGCCGCCGCCGUAA
rnacentral:rRNA from 1 species